rnacentral:tRNA from 1 species
GAGAGAGGCCUGCGGCAACAAAAACUGCUAAUUUUCGUCCCCUUGGUUAAAUUCCAAGGCUCACUCG